CCAGACAGCCAGGAUGUUGGCUUAGAAGCAGCCAUCAUUUAAAGAAAGCGUAAUAGCUCACUGGUCGAGUCGGCCUGCGCGGAAGAUGUAACGGGGCUAAACCAUGCACCGAAGCUGCGGCAGCGACACUGUGUGUUGUUGGGUAGGGGAGCGUUCUGUAAGCCUGUGAAGGUGGCCUGUGAGGGUUGCUGGAGGUAUCAGAAGUGCGAAUGCUGACAUAAGUAACGAUAAAGCGGGUGAAAAGCCCGCUCGCCGGAAGACCAAGGGUUCCUGUCCAACGUUAAUCGGGGCA
rnacentral:rRNA from 2 species